AAGUUUAUAUAGUUUUUGUAAGGAAGAGGAGGAAAUUAAGCAUGUCUAUCAACAAAGGCACAACAUGUGUUUUGUUAGUGAUGGUUUUCUUUGUGUUGUCCAUGAAUUCUUGGUGUGAAUAUGGUGAAGCAACAAGAAUAUUCUUAGCCUUCUCUACAAGUACUCAAGCAACACAAAGGAUGGAUUACCAGAGCAGCAGCCACCGCCGGAGCACCAGGGCAUCGCCCCGUGGGGGCUAUCCUUCCCCGGCAGCAAAUGUGAAUGACCAUGUACAUCACUAGUGAUGAAUCUCUAUUUUGUUGUGGACUUAAAAUAUACUUUGUUUGAUUUUAUUUGUGUUUAUGAAAUUUCAAAUAUGAUGCAAUGAAAGUAAACGUUAACUAGGCUUGUCUUUUCCAUGAUUAGUGAUCUCGAGUUCAAAUUAUGAUAAUAGAAAAAUUCCUGAGUGGGAACGCCCUCCGUCUUGUUAUAUGGAUAACCAUAGAGGGAACGUAUAUUACGAACAUGAACAGAGAAAAUAAAAGGAUGUAGUACUUCA